CAGUAGCCGCGGUAAUACGAAGGGGGCUAGCGUUGCUCGGAAUGACUGGGCGUAAAGGGCGCGUAGGCGGAUUGUUUAGUUAGGCGUGAAAUUCCUUGGCUUAACCUGGGGACUGCGCUUAAUACAGGCAGUCUAGAGUGAGGAAGAGGGUUGUGGAAUUCCCAGUGUAGAGGUGAAAUUCGUAGAUAUUGGGAAGAACACCGGUGGCGAAGGCGGCAACCUGGUCCUUGACUGACGCUGAGGCGCGAAAGCGUGGGGAGCAAACAGGAUUAGAUACCCCAGUAGUCCCUGUCUCUUAUAC
rnacentral:rRNA from 1 species